AGGAUGGUGCUGGGGUGCACAGGGAGCAGCCAUAUCGAUUUCCACAUUUGCCAAGGCAUCCAAGUUCAUCAAAUCAAGAUAAAGCUUGAAUUCCCUUCAAAGCCUGAAUAGUUGGCAGUAAUGCUGAAUUCUCAUCACCAAGUCAGAAGAGACAAAUGAUGAAAAAUGGAAGCAAAGCCAAUGAGUGCCUUACCGAAGAUUUUAGAAGUCACCAAGAAGACUGGUCUGGCUCAAGUCUCCUGACUCCAGUUUAAUAUUAUCCACAAUAAUAUUAGAAAAC